CUUGGUCAUUUAGAGGAAGUAAAAGUCGUAACAAGGUUUCCGUAGGUGAACCUGCGGAAGGAUCAUUACCGAAUUGUCAAACGGGUUGUUGCUGGUCCUUGAAAGGGGACAUGUGCACGCUCUGUUUACACAUCCACUCACACCUGUGCACCCUCCGUAGUUCUAUGGUCUGGGAGACCUUGUCUUCCUGCCGUGGUUCUACGUCUUUACACACACACUGUAACAAAGUCUUAAGGAAUGUAUGCAGCGUCUAACGCAAUACAAUACAACUUUCAGCAACGGAUCUCUUGGCUCUCGCAUCGAUGAAGAACGCAGCGAAAUGCGAUAAGUAAUGUGAAUUGCAGAAUUCAGUGAAUCAUCGAAUCUUUGAACGCACCUUGCGCCCCUUGGCUAUUCCGAGGGGCAUGCCUGUUUGAGUAUCAUGAACACCUCAACUCUCAUGGUUCGCCGUGAUGAGCUUGGACUCUGGGGGAUUUGCUGGCCUGCGGUCAGCUCCCCUCAAAUGAAUCAGCCUCCCAGUGUUUGGUGGCAUCACGGGUGUGAUAAAUAUCUACGCUCGUGGUUGCCUGCCAGGUAACCUUUGGUGACAAAGGUUUGCUGGAGCUUACAGAUGUCUCUCCUCAGCGAGGACAGCUUUUUGGACGUUCGAUCUCAAAUCAGGUAGGACUACCCGCUGAACUUAAGCAUAUCAAUAAGCGGAGGAAAGGGUCA
rnacentral:rRNA from 1 species